AUGAGUAAAGCUUACCGGCGCCA
rnacentral:siRNA from 1 species